CCUCCAGCACCACGUACAGUGGCAGCCUUUCUGUGCAGCAUCCUUCCAGCUGUACCAGGUUCUUGUGUUUCCCCAGGUACUGAUAGAAUUGGAUUCUCCCUAUGAAAUCCUGGACUUCCCGGAGUCCAGUUGGUUCUAUGAAAAACAGAAGAACCAGAACCAGGAUUACCUUCACUGCUCCCAUGGAUGUAGCACAGGGACAGGACAGUUCUGAAAAGGAAUCCACACCAUGGUACCAAAAGGAUUUGAGCCUUACCCCGGAGUCCAGGGCGCUGCCUUUGGGAUCUCUGUCCUCUAAUAAAAAGCCAUAGGAUGAUUGCAAGAA